rnacentral:sRNA from 1 species
CUUCCGGUUGACAACCAUUAAGUAAAGUCAAUAUAAUAAUAUUACGCAGAAGUUAAACAGAGUCGAUCGUUCACUAUUGGCAAUCAUUCUCAUUGACUCAAAUCACUGCUUCAGAUUUGAGGCAUUCCAAUUCCAUGUUCUAAUGGCACUAGC